AAUGAAUAGAAGCAUUCGUAAACACUUUCAAAUUAUGGAGUAAAUAUGGUGUCUUCAGUAAAAUUGAGAUUUCUAACGUAUACUUACACAGAAAUGUCUAAAACCAUCUUACCCCAUGAUCCAGCUUGCUCCAUCUUACUAUAUGUUGCUAAUAAUUCAACGAUUGUCCAUAUAUUUCUUUGUUUUUCUUCAUAUAAGAGUGGAAGUUCGUUUGCUGGUACCUUGUCCACUUAUGUUUAUAUCCAUAAUUAAACCAUAAUUAUUUUCAUAUAUAUAAAGACAGAACAAGAUGGAUCAUGAGUAAGACGAUUUUUUGACAUUUUUGUGUACAAAUACGUUAGAACAAGGGUUCUUAAUCGAGGGUAUCCAUUCUCUUGGGCGUGAAUGCAACGCGAUAGAAUCUUCUUAAGGGGGUAUGGGACCAUAUUGGACAAUCCAUUGGGGUAU
rnacentral:lncRNA from 1 species